CAGUUCUACAGAACAGUUUCUGUUGACUUUUCCUGCAAAUAAGAUUUACCAAUAAUUUUAAGAAAUUAAUUUUAAGUCAGAAGCCAAAUAAGUAGUAUGUUCUCAUAGGAUGGAUUUGACUUUUCUAAAUAGUUAUACUUGUAGACUGCAAAUCUGCAUGAUUUGGCUUAGGCUCCCCUCCAAGAUACCCUGAAAGAUGUACUUUGGAAAGGACUCCUACCAGCGAAAUGAAGUCCCCAUAAUAUGCCCAGAGCAUGACCAGAAUGAGGGCAAACUUUUGUUCUUAAAUAUGCUCACACCAGCCGCGGUCAGGAAAACUGACUGAAAACUGUUUGCUCAAAUGCAUGUCAAUGAGUGGAGAAAUAAUUCUCUAGUGUAGGCUAUGCAAAUGAGCAGGGACUACCAGUGGGUGUGCAGAUAGUGAUCUGCCUGAUACAGUCUGAAAGAUAGCGAGAGAAGGAACACAUUCUAGAAACAAAUGGCACAUUUUUCUUCUGCUUUAUCUGACAUUUUGCAGAUUGUGAAACAUUCAUUUUAUCAUGAUCAUCAGGUUAUAGUUACCUUUUUGAGUUAAUGCUUCCCUCUACUUCCUGUUUCUGUCUUGUCAGAGACUGCACUGCUGUUUGUAUAUCCAAGCACACCAUCAACAAGGGAUAUGGGGAAGCGUGGUCUGACUAUGGACAGAAAAGGAAGUGCAGAAGAGAAAAGAAAACCAGCCCUUUUCAGCCUCAGAGGGUGUGAUAUAUGAUUCAAACAACUAUGUGCAUGCGCAAAUACUAAAGUGCUUGUGAGUGUGAUGGAGCUGCAACAGCGUUUUUCUGUGUCCAUGAAUGAUUAUGAAGAAAGUGAAGGAAAUGCAGAGAGGAGGAUGCAGAAAAAAUGAUGAUGUUAGAACAGAAGAUCUUUAUCAAAGUCUUCAGUUCCCACCUACUGCACACCAUGGAACUAUAAACAGUACAACACUGCUCUCAGAACACUGUGAAAGAAAGUAUGUGUUUUUACUGUUUGCUGUGAACAUUCUUAUCUCAGCCAUCAUCCUUGUCAUUGUGGGUCUAAAUUACUCUCACAACAGAGAAACACAACCAAUAAAAGGACAAAAAGAAAUGUGGCUUCUCCAUGACAAUGUGUUUUAUUUGUUCUGGAGUGACCACAGUGAUUGCUGCACUGCUAAGAGCUUCUGUUCUAAGAGAAAUGCCAGUCUGGCCAUUUUAACUGAGCAUAACAAGGUGCAGCAGCUAUUCAUACACUGUCCUCUCUUUCUCCUUUUAUUUACUUAUUUAUUUUUAAAUGUGAACACAUCAUUGAAUGCAUGUGUGUACAUGGGCAGGUCUGGUUGAUGUCUAGAACCAAUGGAAAAUUUUUGGUCUCAAGAGCCUCAUCAGAUGGAUCUGGAGACACUACUUCUCCAUUAGUGGUAAUGCAUUUGAAAUUUUUGGUUUUAUUUUCAAAUUUUGUUUUCAUAUUUGUGAAAGAUUUUUCUGAACAAUUAUCAAAAUUGAAAAAGUUUUCAAAGCUGUUGGAAGAGUUUGAAAAUUAUUUUUUUUUAAAAAAUAAAUAUUUUAUAUAUGAUUGACUACAGUACCAUAACUGAUGUCUGUUUUACACAUAACUGUGAGAACAGUGAGAAAGUAUGUUAGAAAGUGUACGAUCUAUGGUUUGUGUGUGAGACAGUGGGGAAAAAGUAAACAAAGAAACAAACAAACAAACAUUGAAAAAAUAUUGAAACUUUUUUUUUUAAGUAGAACUUAAAAGCAAAAAAAAGUAUUAAUUGUCUUACAUGAAUCUAAUAUGAAUUAUA
rnacentral:lncRNA from 1 species